UCUGGCAAAGGGGGGAAAAAAACCUCAUAGGGCUUUUAUUUUGAAACUCAGCUACUUCUCUGCCCGGAAGCUCUAUAGUCUUCACUGUGGCUAACUGAUAAUAUCUUCUAAUCCAUCCAUCAGACGGCGGAGUAAAAGGCGCCAGUGUUUAGUUCCCUAAAAGAAAGAAAGGUCCCAAACUGCUGGAUGUGGUUUUAAAAGCUGAAACGAAGCUACACAGAGCAGUUCUGUUGUUGAAACGCGGUGGGCCAGCAGUGAGUGUGAAGAGAGACUUUUCUAAACUCUGACAUGGACUCUGAGAACAGUCAGCACACACAGUCCUCUCACUGUUCCAUCCACCAAGCUUUACCUCCAGAUGUUCUGAAAGUGAUUGUUGGUGAAGAGGAGCAGCAGGAGUGUAGCUCCAGUGUGGACCAGCAGGAGCCAGAGCCCCCCCCACACAUUAAAGAGGAACAGGAGGAACAGUG